rnacentral:rRNA from 1 species
GAGUUUGAUCCUGGCUCAGGAUGAACGCUAGCGGCAGGCUUAACACAUGCAAGUCGAGGGGUAACGGGGAAGCUUGCUUCCGCCGACGACCGGCGCACGGGUGCGUAACGCGUAUACAAUCUACCUUAUACUGGGGUAUAGCCUUUAGAAAUGAAGAUUAACCCCCCAUAGUCUCUUAGAGUGGCAUCACUUCUAGAGUAAAGGUUACGGUAUAAGAUGAGUAUGCGUUCUAUUAGUUUGUUGGUGUGGUAACGGCACACCAAGACUACGAUAGAUAGGGGCCCUGAGAGGGGGAUCCCCCACACUGGUACUGAGACACGGACCAGACUCCUACGGGAGGCAGCAGUGAGGAAUAUUGGACAAUGGAGGCAACUCUGAUCCAGCCAUGCCGCGUGCAGGAAGACUGCCCUAUGGGUUGUAAACUGCUUUUAUACAGGAAGAAACACCUCUACGUGUAGAGGCUUGACGGUACUGUAAGAAUAAGGAUCGGCUAACUCCGUGCCAGCAGCCGCGGUAAUACGGAGGAUCCAAGCGUUAUCCGGAAUCAUUGGGUUUAAAGGGUCCGUAGGUGGAUAAUUAAGUCAGAGGUGAAAUCUUGCAGCUCAACUGUAAAAUUGCCUUUGAAACUGGUUAUCUUGAGUUAUUAUGAAGUAGUUAGAAUAUGUAGUGUAGCGGUGAAAUGCAUAGAUAUUACAUAGAAUACCAAUUGCGAAGGCAGAUUACUAAUAAUCAACUGACACUGAUGGACGAAAGCGUGGGUAGCGAACAGGAUUAGAUACCCUGGUAGUCCACGCCGUAAACGAUGGUUACUAGCUGUUUGGACUUCGGUCUGAGUGGCUAAGCGAAAGUGAUAAGUAACCCACCUGGGGAGUACGUUCGCAAGAAUGAAACUCAAAGGAAUUGACGGGGGCCCGCACAAGCGGUGGAGCAUGUGGUUUAAUUCGAUGAUACGCGAGGAACCUUACCAGGGCUUAAAUGUAAGUUGCAUUAGUUAGAGAUAGCUAUUUCUUCGGACCACUUACAAGGUGCUGCAUGGUUGUCGUCAGCUCGUGCCGUGAGGUGUCAGGUUAAGUCCUAUAACGAGCGCAACCCCUGUUGUUAGUUGCCAGCGAGUCAUGUCGGGAACUCUAGCAAGACUGCCAGUGCAAACUGUGAGGAAGGUGGGGAUGACGUCAAAUCAUCACGGCCCUUACGUCCUGGGCUACACACGUGCUACAAUGGUAGGUACAGAGAGCAGCCACUGCGCGAGCAGGAGCGAAUCUAUAAAACCUAUCACAGUUCGGAUCGGAGUCCGCAACUCGACUCCGUGAAGCUGGAAUCGCUAGUAAUCGGAUAUCAGCCAUGAUCCGGUGAAUACGUUCCCGGGCCUUGUACACACCGCCCGUCAAGCCAUGGAAGUUGGAAGUGCCUGAAGUCCGUCACCGUAAGGAGCGGCCUAGGGUAAAGUCGAUAACUAGGGCUAAGUCGUAACAAGGUAACC